CAAAUAUAAAUCGCUAUUAGCAUGAUCCGACCAGAUGAUACUAUUCAGUCCUGAUAACACACAGGACCAGUUUCAGCUAACUAAGAAUAGGUAGAUUCUUAAAUAUGUACCAUGCGGGGCAGAAUAAAUUGAGAAAUUUGUCAUGUCAGGGAUGCUGUGCCAACCAUAUGUGUAUGAGACCGCAGGAGUCUAUAAAUCUACAGAAUAAUUUAUUCUAUCUGUCACUGCCCUGAGAUCACAGCAUACCUGGUCUAGAGCUCCUAUCUGCUGCCGUAGGACUUCAUAUAUGUAUUUAUGUCAUUAUUGCUUUGAUAAUUCGUUCUUGAGAUACGUGUGUGCUGCCAUUUAUAAUGGUUGUCUGGAUAUUUGUCGUAUGCCUUCUAGCCUCUAUAGAGAUAUUGUUCACCUAAUAUAUGAUAUGUGUUGUUGAUGUGUG